rnacentral:rRNA from 2 species
UGAAAUCAGGUGGGACUACCC